UGCUGCAUUAACCAGAUUCUCCUGUUUUGUCUUUGGUUGGCAGGCCAAUACGGCUAUGGUGGUAAGUGUCAAUCCUAGCUUGGGAUGGAGGGAGGAAGACCAGAAGGGGCAGGCUGCUUGCCUCACCCUUGCUUUUUUCUCCUCCCCACAGGCAAACCCCCCAAGCCCUACGGAGCCCUGAGCGCACUGGGCUACAGAGGUGGGAUCGGCCGCAAGAGAAAGUAGCCCCGCUGGACUUCACACCAUUCACCUCAUGAACUUUGGUGCUACUGCCUGUUUUCCAAUGUACCUCCCCACCCCGAGUACAGCAGAGAAUCCACCACCACCUCCACCACCUUGUGCCUCGCCCCACGUCCCCCAGCCAGUCUCCCCCCCCCCCGUCCUUCGUCCCUCUCACUGGUGCUACGACCAUCCUGUGGGGAACACCCUCCCUGCCUUCCCCCCCUCCCCGGGGCUCUUUGGUGCUGCAGCCAAGGAGGGGCUGCUCGUGGAGGGGGCCGCCCCAGCACUUUAACCUGCUCCUGAGCCCCGUGACCACACGCGGGGGUCAGUAGCCCCUGGCCAGUCGGCCCUGCCCCCCGUCAACUCCAUCUCUGCAGGCUCCUCUUUGGAUGGAAGGGGGGGUGCCACUCGUUAACCCUGGGCCCCCGAACUGGAGCCCUUUUCUCCUGUCCCGGUACGCUGCCUGCUCACACAGGGAGCAGCUCGGGUCAGUCCAGCGGUGCCAACGGGAUUAACCUCAAUCCCGCAGCGGCUGCCAGCUGCCACCCCCUUGGCGGAUUAGCCCCGCCAGUCUGCGUCCAGCAUAUCUAAUGCGGGCAGCGUCACGUCGUCUAGAUCCGAGCAAGCGGGGAGCCCCCGUGCCUCUCCGGGAUCCCCCGUCCACGAACGGCUGACCUGCUCCACGUCUUCAUGCUACUCACUUCGAUGUAACUUGGAUGGGACACUUUUUAUAAAGAAGAUCCAUAACUGCUUUCCCCUCAAAGAAUAAAAUCAACUAAUAAAUAACUUUUUAAAGGAAA